CGAAAGUCCUCUCUCUUCUUCCUGCGAUGGCAACCCGAUGCCGUUUGCGCUUCUUCUCACCAUCUGAAAUGGUUUGAGCAAAAGGCUCCAGGUUUAAUCAAAUUGAUUCGCUCCCCCACUGCGUCAUCUUCAAAGCGUUGUUUGGAUCUAAGAGCCGGUGUGGUAUAAAUAUGUGUGAAUCAUCUGAGGUUAAGGCUUCACGGAGGGCAGAGGCGAAGUAUCUGGUCACGAGACUUGAAGAUACCUGGCUACGAUGAUCGAUACAGCAGCAAUGAUCUAUAUGGCGGUGCGCGUCUCUAUGUUGGCCACCUCUCCUCUCGAACAAGGGAACAUGAUCUUGAACACCUCUUCAGCAAAUAUGGAAGGUACAUGCAUCUGCGUAUUUACAAACUGAUACAACAUUGUUUCUUAUUUCUGUGAACGGAAACAUGGAAUAAGUAUACUUGUGGAAGGUCAACAAAUUGAGAGGUCAAUGGGGGUGUAAGUAGCAGCGAAGAAUCUUCUUAUCCAGAGAAGAAGCUUUAUUUAUUUAUGAAUAAGAAGGGAGAAAAAAAACAUAAGAGUUAAGUCUUUGAGCUGAGGUUCAAUUUACAGGUUUAUGGUUUUCUUAA